rnacentral:rRNA from 1 species
GGUGAAAAGCACCCCGGAAGGGGAGUGAAAUAGAACCUGAAACCGUGUGCUUACAAGUAGUCAGAGCCCGUUAAUGGGUGAUGGCGUGCCUUUUGUAGAAUGAACCGGCGAGUUACGAUUUGAUGCAAGGUUAAGCAGUAAAUGUGGAGCCGUAGCGAAAGCGAGUCUGAAUAGGGCGUUUAGUAUUUGGUCGUAGACCCGAAACCAGGUGAUCUACCCUUGGUCAGGUUGAAGUUCAGGUAACACUGAAUGGAGGACCGAACCGACUUACGUUGAAAAGUGAGCGGAUGAACUGAGGGUAGCGGAGAAAUUCCAAUCGAACCUGGAGAUAGCUGGUUCUCUCCGAAAUAGCUUUAGGGCUAGCCUCAAGUGAUGAUUAUUGGAGGUAGAGCACUGUUUGGACGAGGGGCCCCUCUCGGGUUACCGAAUUCAGACAAACUCCGAAUGCCAAUUAAUUUAACUUGGGAGUCAGAACAUGGGUGAUAAGGUCCGUGUUCGAAAGGGAAACAGCCCAGACCACCAGCUAAGGUCCCAAAAUAUAUGUUAAGUGGAAAAGGAUGUGGCGUUGCCCAGACAACUAGGAUGUUGGCUUAGAAGCAGCCAUCAUUUAAAGAGUGCGUAAUAGCUCACUAGUCGAGUGACACUGCGCCGAAAAUGUACCGGGGCUAAACAUAUUACCGAAGCUGUGGAUUGUCCUUUGGACAAUGGUAGGAGAGCGUUCUAAGGGCGUUGAAGCAUGAUCGUAAGGACAUGUGGAGCGCUUAGAAGUGAGAAUGCCGGUGUGAGUAGCGAAAGACGGGUGAGAAUCCCGUCCACCGAUUGACUAAGGUUUCCAGAGGAAGGCUCGUCCGCUCUGGGUUAGUCGGGUCCUAAGCUGAGGCCGACAGGCGUAGGCGAUGGAUAACAGGUUGAUAUUCCUGUACCACCUAUAAUCGUUUUAAUCGAUGGGGGGACGCAGUAGGAUAGGCGAAGCGUGCGAUUGGAUUGCACGUCUAAGCAGUAAGGCUGAGUAUUAGGCAAAUCCGGUACUCAUUAAGGCUGAGCUGUGAUGGGGAG